rnacentral:rRNA from 1 species
AGGACGAACGCUGGCGGCGCGCUUAACACAUGCAAGUCGAGCGAGAACCGGUCCUUCGGGACCGGGGAAAGCGGCGAACGGGUGAGUAACACGUGGGUAAUCAACCCUUGGUACCGGGAUAGCCCGAGGAAACUCGGAUUAAUACCGGAUGGCCCAACAGCUCUUCAGGGCGGUUGGAAAAGGUAGCUUCGGCCUCCGACCAAGGACGAGCCCGCGGCGGAUUAGCUUGUUGGCGGGGUAAUGGCCCACCAAGGCGACGAUCCGUAGCUGGUCUGAGAGGACGAUCAGCCACACUGGGACUGAGACACGGCCCAGACUCCUACGGGAGGCAGCAGUGGGGAAUCUUGCACAAUGGGCGAAAGCCUGAUGCAGCGACGCCGCGUGAGGGAAGAAGGCUUUCGGGUUGUAAACCUCUUUCAGGAGGGACGAAGCUACUCGGGUUAAUAGCCCAGAGGGUGACGGUACCUUCGAGAAGAAGCCCCGGCUAACUACGUCGCCAGCAGCCGCGGUAA